rnacentral:rRNA from 1 species
AUUGAACGCUGGCGGCAGGCCUAACACAUGCAAGUCGAGCGGAUGAAGGGAGCUUGCUCCUGGAUUCAGCGGCGGACGGGUGAGUAAUGCCUAGGAAUCUGCCUGGUAGUGGGGGAUAACGUCCGGAAACGGGCGCUAAUACCGCAUACGUCCUGAGGGAGAAAGUGGGGGAUCUUCGGACCUCACGCUAUCAGAUGAGCCUAGGUCGGAUUAGCUAGUUGGUGGGGUAAAGGCCUACCAAGGCGACGAUCCGUAACUGGUCUGAGAGGAUGAUCAGUCACACUGGAACUGAGACACGGUCCUGACUCCUACGGGAGGCCGCAGUGUGGAAUGUUGGACAAUAGGCGAAAGCCUGAUCCAGCCAUGCCGCGUGUGUGAAGACGGUCUUCGGAUUGUAAAGCACUUUAAGUUGGGAGGAAGGGCAGUAAGUUAAUACCUUGCUGUUUUGACGUUACCAACAGAAUAAGCACCGGCUAACUUCGUG